CUGGCCCAGUCCUCCCUGCUUGCUGGGGCCCCAGGGUCGGUCAUGGAGCUGAGCGCCCGACUGGGCCCUGUCCUGCCCUGUUCCCCUACGGGGGUCCCUGCACCGACACCCUUCCUGUGUCCUUCACCCUUGCCUCCUGGCUCUGUCAGUAAGAAGCCGGAGAAGCUGCAGCCCCUCUGGGCCCUCCUGGAGUGACCCCGAGGGCUCUCUCAUCCUUUGUGCCAUGCCACGGCCGUGAACAGGCAUUGCCCAGAGCUGAGGGAUGUGUCACCCUCCGGGCCUGACCCAGGGCCCUCCCAGAUGGCUUGGAUCCGGACGGGACCCGGAUGACAGGCUGGACGUCACCUCCCGGAGCGGGUCUUGCCGGCCGCUUUCUCAAGCCAGGCUGCAUCCCCUUACGCUCAGCACCUCUUGUCCUCUCUGACUCUUCUCAUGACUGCUUCUCUCUGCUUCCUCGGUGGUUUCCUUGAUGUCUUUUUUCUAAGAGGAACAAGAUGACGAUUUGCUGGAUGCCAGCGGGACCCGGUAUCAGUGUCCUUCAUGACAGUUUCCAUCCACAACGAAACCAGCAUUUUCUCAACAUAAAGCUCAGAUUCAAGCUGGGUACCGUGGUGCACACCUGUAAUCCCGGCACUCGGGAGGCUGAAGCAGGCAGGAUCACCGUGAGCUCAAGGGCAGCCUGGGCUACUCAGUGAGACCUCAUCUCAAAAUAAAACAAAACAGCAGAUUCUAUCUUUUAUUCUCCAACCUCUCAGAUACUUCUAGAACUUAUCCCAGCUGGAGCCAGAUGUCAGGAAAUUCCUGAGGUGUCCGUGUCCCUGCAGGGCUCCAUGGUGGGAUCUCCCUGUCACCCAAGAACAAUCUCCCCACCUCUGGGGAGGCAGCUAAAGAAAUUCCAGUCCAAACCCUCCAGGGAGUCCAGGGAGAAGCGGGUCCCGCACCCCGUGGGUCACAGACGGGGCCCUGAGGCCCGGCCAGGCUGGAGGCCCUGCUGCUGGGGCCUCCGUUUCCAGGGACCCCGUCUCCCUGCCCCCAAGCACUGCUUCUCUCCCUGUGUGACACGUGAGGAAGGCGCCCGAGGCAGGGAGGAGUAGAAAGCACUUUGCAAACACCCG
rnacentral:lncRNA from 1 species